UGGACAGGUGGAUUGAUGAGACUCCUCCAGU
rnacentral:piRNA from 2 species